rnacentral:rRNA from 1 species
GACAAACAGUGCGAGCGUUAUUCGGAUUGAUUGGGCUUAAAGGGUAUGUAGGUGGCUUUUCAAACCAUAAUAGAAAUGCUAGGGUCAUAACCUUAGCAGUUAUUAUGCAGAUUAUUUAGCUUGAGUUAAUUAGAAGUUUAGAGGAUUUUCAUGUGGAGGAGUAGAAUCCUUAGAUAUAUGAAGGACCACCCGGAGUGUAAACGUCUUUCUAUAAUUAACUGACACUGAGGUACGUAGGCGUGGGGCGCAAAUCGG